rnacentral:rRNA from 1 species
UACGGGGGGGGCAAGCGUUGUUCGGAAUUACUGGGCGUAAAGGGCUCGUAGGCGGCCAACUAAGUCGGAUGUGAAAUCCCCAGGCUUAACCUGGGAACUGCAUCCGAUACUGGAUGGCUUGAAUCCGGGAGAGGGAUGCAGAAUUCCAGGUGUAGCGGUGAAAUGCGUAGAUAUCCGGAGGAAUACCGGUGGCGAAGGCGGCAUCCUGGACCGGCAUUGACGCUGAUGAGCGAAAGCUAGGGGAGCAAACGGG